UACGAGGGGGCAAGCGUUGUUCGGAAUUAUUGGGCGUAAAGGGCGCGUAGGCGGUUUGACAAGUCUGAUGUGAAAUCUAUGGGCUCAACCCAUAGCCUGCAUUAGAAACUGUCGGGCUUGAGUAUGGGAGAGGUGAGUGGAAUUCCGGUGUAGCGGUGAAAUGCGUAGAUAUCGGAAGGAACACCUGUGGCGAAAGCGGCUCACUGGACCAUAACUGACGCUGAGGCGCGAAAGCUAGGGAGCAACAGGA
rnacentral:rRNA from 1 species